rnacentral:rRNA from 1 species
GACGAACGCUGGCGGCGUGCUUAACACAUGCAAGUCGAACGGAAAGGCCCUGCUUUUGUGGGGUGCUCGAGUGGCGAACGGGUGAGUAACACGUGAGUAACCUGCCCUUGACUUUGGGAUAACUUCAGGAAACUGGGGCUAAUACCGGAUAGGAGCUCCUGCUGCAUGGUGGGGGUUGGAAAGUUUCGGCGGUUGGGGAUGGACUCGCGGCUUAUCAGCUUGUUGGUGGGGUAGUGGCUUACCAAGGCUUUGACGGGUAGCCGGCCUGAGAGGGGGACCGGCCACAUUGGGACUGAUAUACGGCCCAGACUCCGACGGGAGGCAGCGGUGGGGAAUAUGGCACAAUGGGCGGAAGCCUGAUGCACGAACGCCGCGUGCGGGAUGACGGCCUUCGGGUUGUAAGCCGCUUUCGCCUGUGACGAAGCGAGAGUGACGGUAAUGGGUAAAGAAGCACCGGCUAACUACGUG